AGAGUUUGAUCMUGGCUCAGGAUUAACGUUGGUAGUAUGCCUAACACAUGCAAGUCGAGCGGAAAGUAGUAGCAAUAUUGCUUUGAGCGGCGAACGGGUGAGUAAUGCUUAUCUAACUUGCCAAUUAGUGGGGGACAACUAUGGGAAACCAUAGCUAAUACCGCAUUUGUUACUUCGGUAAUGAAAGAGAGUCGCAAGAUUCUCGCUAAUUGAUAGGGAUAAGUCGUAUUAGUUAGUUGGUGGGGUAAUGGCCUACCAAGACAAUGAUGCGUAGCCAGUCUGAGAGGAUGAAUGGCCACAAGGGAACUGAGACACGGUCCCUACUCCUACGGGAGGCAGCAGUGAGGAAUUUUCGGCAAUGGGGGCAACCUUGACCGAGCAAUACUACGUGAAGGAGGAAGGUCUACGGAUUGUAAACUUCUGUUAGCAGGGAAGAAGGGCUGGAUGUGAGUUCAGUUUUGACGGUACCUGCAGAGAAAGCCACGACUAACUACGUGCCAGCAGUCGCGGUAAGACGUAGGUGGCGAACGUUAUCCGGAAUUAUUGGGCGUAAAGGGUGCGUAGAUGGUCUAAUAAGUUAUCAGCGGUAAAUCGGGGCUCAACCCCGUGGAAGUCGGUAAUACUGUUAUACUCGAGUGCAGAAGAGGNUUAACGGAACUCCAUGUGGAGCGGUAAAAUGCGUAGAUAUAUGGAAGAACACCAAUAACGGCGAAAGCAGUUAACUAUUCUGUUACUGACAUUGAGGCACGAAAAGCGUGGGGAGCAAAACGGAUUAGAUACCCGUGUAGUCCACGCCCUAAACGAUGAGUGCUAGAUAUUGGGAACUUGAUUCUCAGUGUCGCUAGUUAACACGGUAAGCACUCCGCCUGGGUAGUACGGUCGCAAGGCUGAAACUCAAAGGAAUUGACGGGGACUCGCACAAGCAGUGGAGCAUGUGGUUUAAUCCGAUACAACGCGUAGAACCUUACCAAGGCUUGACAUGACCGGCAAAGUUGCUGAAAGGCAAUUGAGGUUAUCCGGUCACAGGUGCUGCAUGGCCGUCGUCAGUUCGUGCCGUGAGGUGUAUGGUUAAGUCCUGUAACGAACGCAACCCUUGGGCUUAGUUGCCAGCAUUAAGUUGGGGACUCUAAGCCGACUGCCCGAGUAAUCGGGAGGAAGGAAAGGAUGACGUCUGGUCCGUCAUGGCCCUUAUGCCUUGGGCGACACACGUGCUACAAUGGCUAAGACAAAGGGAUGCCAACCCGCGAGGGGGAGCAAAUCUCAAAAAAUUAGCCUCAGUUCGGAUUGGAGGCUGCAACUCGCCUCCAUGAAGUUGGAAUUGCUAGUAAUCGCAAAUCAGCCAUGUUGCGGUGAAUACGUUCUCGAGUCUUGUACACACCGCCCGUCAAAUCACGAAAGUCGGUAAUGCUUGAAACCAACUAACUAACCCGCCAGGGAGGUAGUUGACAAGGGUAGGAUUGGCAAUUGGGGUUAAGUCGUAACAAGGUAGCCGUAG
rnacentral:rRNA from 1 species